UGUUGCAGUACAGAGAAGGAUACUAGCUGAGGAAGACACAAGUCAAGGAGAAGAACUAUUUUUCAAGAGAAUAGUGAUACCCCUCUUGUUGUUGGCACAAAGGAUUAGUCUUACUAAUCACCUCAAAAGGAGCUCAGAUAAGGCUGUAUCACUACCACCUCACUAUUACAGUGUUAAUGGUCUGACAAAGAACAGGAACAGCCUUCUUAGUGUGAAAAGCAUCCCAGGCUCCACUACUGGAAGAUCUUCCUGACUCAUGAGGACUGAAUUUGCUGCAUGGCAUGCAAUUCCAUAAACCUUUGAGAGAACUAUCUUUCCCACGGUUUCUGCCCCAGUAUGGUGUUCACUAGCCUGGAGAAACUAAUGAAAAAACUUUUCUCCUCUCCUCUCCACACACAUUGCUGCUCUAGCCACCCACACUUCUUGACAGGUGGUAGCACAGUUUUUCGAGAAUUGGGCAGAAGAUGAAUACACCUCCCAGGUUUCGUACACCCCUACCAUUUUGUUCGGUUCAUCAUUCAUCCAAGCUUAUUAUAAUGCCCACGAACUAGUCCCAAGGGAGCAACAACCCUUCAGAUCUGCUUCAUUCCUCUGAUUUCAAUCCCACGACCACUGCAGCUAGCACAUGGUGAGUGAAGAAAGAGCACAGGGUUAAAAGCAACAGUGGAAACUAUCCAGUCAAAGAAAGGGAGGGGAGUGCAGAAACAUUAA